GAAAGGCGUAGUCGAUGGGAAAAUGGUUAAUAUUCCAUUACUUCUGUGUAAUGCGAUGAGAGGACGGAGAAGGCUAAAUCAGCCUGGCGUUGGUUGUCCAGGUGAAAGGAUGUAGGCAUGUAUCUUAGGCAAAUCCGGGGUACUCUAUGCUGAGAUCUGAUAGCAAGCUGUACUUGUACAGCGAAGUGGUUGAUGCCAUGCUUCCAGGAAAAGUCUCUAAGCUUCAGUUACACAGGAAUCGUACCCGAAACCGACACAGGUGGUCAGGUCGAGUAGACCAAGGCGCUUGAGAGAACUCUGCUGAAGGAACUAGGCAAAAUGGUACCGUAACUUCGGGAGAAGGUACGCUGUUGUUGGUGAUGGAACUCGCUUCCUGAGCUGACGACAGCCGCAGAAACCAGGCCGCUGCAACUGUUUAUUAAAAACAUAGCACUCUGCAAACACGAAAGUGGACGUAUAGGGUGUGAUGCCUGCCCGGUGCUGGAAGGUUAAUUGAUGGGGUUAGCGUAAGCGAAGCUCUUGAUCGAAGCCCCAGUAAACGGCGGCCGUAACUAUAACGGUCCUAAGGUAGCGAAAUUCCUUGUCGGGUAAGUUCCGACCUGCAC
rnacentral:rRNA from 1 species